UGUUUGGUUAUAUUAUGAAAAGCAUGUUGGGGAACAGCCGGGAUGCUCAGCAUCGUAUGUACCUUUGUUUGUGGGUUGGUUUUCACUUACUCCACACAAACUCUGUGAAAGCGUUGCUACUGCGACUUUUGGUUUUGAACGAUGACACGUGAAGGAAUGAGGAUGGUGGCCAAACUUGAAAGCGGUUGUUCUGGGACUCGAUCCCAGGUCAAACACCCAAACGUUAUUAUCAAGGCGAUGCAAUGUCACCAGCCUCUUUCUGCUUUUCUGAAACAUUUUUUAUGGAAGGAGUUGAUUUCCAAGGUUGUGCCAAUUUCUGCCGCACAGCCAAGUCACGCAGUCUCUCUCUCUCUCUCUCACACACACACACUCCUUUUCUGAUGUUAUCUUGCAUCGUUGUCUAUCCCAAGAGACUGGGUCUGCUCUUCUAAGUUUCCCUCUAGCCCCCGGUUUCUUCUGCAAAUCUUCCUGGUCCAUCUGCUUUGCUCCUCUGCCCCCUCCUCUCUGACCACACUUUUGUCUGUCCCUCGUCUCCUUCUCCCGAUGACAAAAUCUUCUCAGCGGAAGCCCCAGCUCAAAAGCCAUUUGGCUCCUGAAACCCGCCCGAGUUCCUCCACCCCCAGCAGAACGACCCUCUUCUUCCUUCCAUCGGCGUCACCCACACGCGCCCCAGUACUUCCCAGCCUCCCUUGCGCCGGUCACCUGUCUGCAGGUGAUGCCAGCCCCUCCCCAGCAGAGUGUCCUCCACAGAGGCAACGGUGCGUGGUCUACGCUUGAAGAUGCGACACACACAUCGUGAUGUAUGUGGACCCAUUGCGCACUUGGUUGCCUUGGUGGAAACAUCACAUCAUAAAGACAGAAACAUGCACGAUGAUGUGUGUCAGGUAUUUAACUCCUGAGUGAAAUCAUGUAUCAUCAAAGGAGGAGGAAGUGAGUCAGGAUGCAAACCACGAACAGGUGGUCCUUCCACCUAGACAUCCGGAGACCAGGAUGCUGGCUGGAGUGGUUAUGGACCUUGGGAUGGAAGACAUCCUUUUGGGGUUGGAAUCCUGAGUGCGCAUUUCCUGACCAUGUAGGCACCUUCAGAGAGUCCCUUGUACUGUAAAACAGGGGCCAGAGCUCCCACCUCACUGCUGCUGAUGGGACUUCACAGAACAGGUAAGAGCCCUCUCCACUGCCUUUUGUAUCAUGAGCGCUCCGACCAGGUAGACUGAUGCAGCCACCAGUGUCACAUGACACAUGAUGCCUUCCCUGGGGGUGGGGACACGUAGUUUAAAGCCUUCUUACUGGGAACGGCAUGUCUCUGGCUGCAACUGCUAGGCUCGAAGAAAUGGAUGUGGUUUUCAAAAACAGAUUUCUAUUUUAUCUACAGAGAAGACAGAUAGAUGGACAGACAUAGAUAUAGACAGAAAGAACAGAUAGAUAAAGAGAUAUAGACAGAGAGAAAUACAUAUAUAUGUAUGUACAGAGAGAAAGAAUAUAUGGAUAAAUAAAUGUAGCUAUACAUAGAUAAUACACAUGUACACAGAGAUAUAGAUAGAUAGAGAUAUGGACAAAAGAAUAGAUAAAUAGGUAUAGAUAGAAAUACAUAUAUAAAGAAGAUAUGCAAAAAUAGAUCUAGCUAUAGCUAAAUAAUAGACAUGUACAUAGAUAUAGACAUAAACAGAAUAGGUAGAUAUAGAGAGAAAUAUAUACAUAGAAAGAAUAUGUAGAUAAACAGAUACAGCUAUAGAGAGAUAAUAGAUACUUACAAAGAGAGAGAUAGAUAAAGACAGAGAUAGAAGUAGAAAGAAGGAUAUAUGGAUGGAUAUAUAGAUAGGAAAAUUGAUAGAUGAUAGAUACAUAAUAGAUGAUAGAUGCAUAGAUAAAGGAUGGAUGGAAAAAUAAAAGAUAGAAUGAACAUAUUGAGUAUUGGAUUUGUUAUAAAAUACUACAGCAUUCAGCUAGAUUUCAAACAUUUCAUUCAUCGACGUAACACCACACUCUAGUCUCUUGAAGAUAACUCUUUGCUGUAUGUGCAUGUGUUAUUUUGAGUAACUUUUUGUCUGAAUCAUGCCGGUCUGUCCCUUUAAUCACAGCAUUCCCUUCUGUCGCUUGGAACAAAUGUCUCCUUUACCCCAGGUUACGUCUCACUGUGUUCUGCUACAUAACGAUUUAAAUUUUUUUUUUAAUUUCAUUUUUUGCUUUUUAGGGCCGCACCUACAGCUUAGGGAAGAUCCCAGGCUAAGGUUUCCAAUCAGAGCUGCAGCUGCUGGCCUACAGCACAGACACAGCAACACCAGAUCUGAGCCACGUCUGCAACCGACACCACACCUCACAGCAACGCCAGAUCUCUAACCCACUGAGUGAGGUCAGGGAUCAAACCUUCAUCCUCAUGGAUUGUAGUCAGAAUCAUUAACUGCUGAGCCACAAAGGGAACUCCCCUGCAUGACUAUUUAAAAAAAAAAUUUUUUUUUUCGGCCACACCUGCAUCCUGUGAAAGUUCCUGGGCGAAGCACUGAACCUAUGCCACAGCAGCAACCCAAGCCUCAGCAGUGACGACACCAGAUCCCUAACCUCCAGGUCACCAGGGGACUCCUGUUGCACGAUCCUGUUUGCAUCCUCCCCGGUAUCUGUGGCUUCCGUUAGUAUAUAUCGUUUUCCUCCCGUCGUGAGAUAAGAAAACGGUCAUGGGGGAUUUUCUCAAACGUCUGGCCGUAGUAGUGGUUCUGCCUGACCCUUUCUUCAUGUUCCCAUGGAUACAGGCGCCGAAAAAUAACAUAAAAAUCCCACAGAGUCCCAACUGCCUAGGAGCAUAAUUCAUCCCGUUUCCCAUCCAGCCAGUGUGUGUCUGGCACUUUGGCCUGUUGUGCAAUUUCUGCUGUAGGCAUGUGGGUGGGGCUUUGGUGAGCUUUUGGUAGAGGUGCCAGCUUUCCUGUGCUCCACCCUGAGUGGGAAAGCCCUUCGCCAAGCCUGGACGGGCCCCUCCGGCUUUGUUUAUCCUGGCCACCUGGUUUGUUUCGUGGGCGCGGAGACCGCAUUGAGGUCUCUUUGCCGUGGAGACUGAUGAGAAUUCCAUUCAUUGCAGCCACCGUCCUACCCUUUGCGAGCCUGAAAACUGUCCCUCCCGGGUCUUCAUCACUCUUCGGCCCGGGACCCCCGCUUUGCCAAAGGAAUUGCGUGGUUUCCUUUUCUCCCCGCCCAUCUGUCUGUCCCCUGCAUGAUUUCUCUGGCUGGCUUCUGUGGCGGA
rnacentral:lncRNA from 1 species